AAUUUGGUUUCAAAUCUUUAGAAGUUCAAAACUUUAGAUUUAAAAUAGUCUUUUUUAUCGAAACAUUUUAAGGUGGUAACCUUUGUGUUUAAAAUUUUCAAAGUUCAUAUUUUAUAUGUCCACCUUUGUGUAUCAAACUUUUCAACGUUUACAUUUCAUAUGUCCCUUUAAUGGAUUUUUCGCCAAUUAUAAGCAUUUUAUUUAAGAAAACGAGGUUAUUAAUUUUCAAUGUCACUUAAAACUAUAGAAAUCAAACUUUUUUGAGGUUAGACAUUAUGGAUAGNNNNNNNNNNNNNNNNUUUCAAGUUAGAACUUAAAAUCUUUUUCUAGUUUUAUGAUAUGUUGCUCAAUUUUUUCCCGUUUUCAAAUUUGCAUCAAUAUGAUUUUAAAAAAUUAGAUGUGUGCGUAAUAGAUUUCAAAACUUCCAACUUGAUCCCUCAUUUUUAAAAAUUUUUGACUUAUUUUCGUGAAAGUUUACAACAUGCAUGAAGUUACACUUUAUUGAUACAUAUAUUACCUAUAAUCAUUUAUUUUUUAAAGUUUUAAUAUUUAGAAAUAGGAGAAAAAUUUUGUGUUUGUUAGAAUUUUGAUUCAAAUAUUUAAAAGUUCAAAACUUUAGACUUAAAAUAGUCUUUUCUUAUCGAAACAUUUUGAGUUGGUAACCUUUGUGUUUAAAAUUUUCAAAGUUCAUAUUUUAUAUGUCCACCUUUGUGUUUCAAUUUUUCAACGUUUAUAUUUUAUAUGUCCCUUUAAUGGAUUUUCCGCCAAUUAGAAGCAUUUUAUUUAAGAAAACGAGGUUAUUAAAUUCCAAUGUCACUUAAAACUAUAGGAAUGAAACUUUUUUGAGGUUAGGGAUUUUGGGUAGUAUAUGCGGGAACACCGUGUAACUUCUUGCAUUUUCGGUCAAUUAUACCAAUUUCAAUUAAUUGUUUUUUUGAAUUUCCAAUAUCACUUAAAACGUAAGAAAUCAAAACUUUUUUGGUAACUUACCACAAUUUAAAUUUCAAGUUAGAACUUAAAAUCUUUUUCUAGUUUUAUGAUAUGUUGCUCAAUUUUUUCCCGUUUUCAAAUUUGCAUCAAUAUGAUUU
rnacentral:lncRNA from 1 species